UACGUAGGGGGCAAGCGUUGUCCGGAAUUACUGGGUGUAAAGCGCGUGUAGGCGGUAGGCCAAGUCUGCUGUGAAAUCGCCCGGCUCAACUGGGCGCGGUCGGUGGAAACUGGUCAACUGGAGGACGGUAGAGGCGAGUGGAAUUCCCGGUGUAGUGGUGAAAUGCGUAGAGAUCGAGAGGAACACCAGUGGCGAAGGCGGCUCGCUGGGCCGGUCCUGACGCUGAGACGCGAAGGCGUGGGGAGCGAACGGG
rnacentral:rRNA from 1 species